UAUUUCCUUGCCUACAACCUCUCUGGAGAGCUCGCAGAUGACAACCUUGAUGACAAGGUUGGAAACUGGAGUCUUAUCAUCGGUAGGACUUUCCUUAAAUGAAGAUCUCAACCUCUAUCCUGGACAAGUGGGAUCUUGCAGAAUGGACUCAGGGGCCCAGGUUGGGCAAGGCUGAUCCAUGAAAGAGAGUCUAGAGGCAAAACUGAAGUCACAAACAGGCACAGACUGAUCAAGAUGUCUCAAAGAUGCCUUCAAAAAGGUAAGGCACGAAGAGGCAAUCCAGGUAUAAGACCUUGGGAUGGCAUCAGAUUUGACUUCGAGGCUGGGAGGGGGUUCUGAGAAGUGGGGUUCUGAGAAGUGGCCUUCUGCUCCCGCAGGGCUGCAGUGGUCACAGUGAUUGGGAGGGGUUCUGAGAAGUGACCUUCUACUGCCACAGAGCUGUGGUGAUCACAGUGAUUGGGA
rnacentral:lncRNA from 1 species